CUACAUGUGUUAGCAUCUUUAAAUGUUUCAAAAUAAAAUGGUGCAAUAUGGAAUAAGCGGUUUGAAGUAUGAAAUAAAUUGAUGAAGAUGAUUAUGGUUCCGGUGAUGCGCAUUUUCUCGCUGACUGUUGCACGUACAUCCUACAUCCGUACAUCCCCAAAGAUAAACACAAACUGCGAUCCCAU